rnacentral:rRNA from 1 species
AUUGAACGCUGGCGGCAUGCCUUACACAUGCAAGUCGAACGGCAGCACGGGUGCUUGCACCUGGUGGCGAGUGGCGAACGGGUGAGUAAUACAUCGGAACAUGUCCUGUAGUGGGGGAUAGCCCGGCGAAAGCCGGAUUAAUACCGCAUACGAUCUACGGAUGAAAGCGGGGGACCUUCGGGCCUAGCGCUAUAGGGUUGGCCGAUGGCUGAUUAGCUAGUUGGUGGGGUAAAGGCCUACCAAGGCGACGAUCAGUAGCUGGUCUGAGAGGACGACCAGCCACACUGGGACUGAGACACGGCCCAGCCUCCUACGGGGAGCAGCAGUGGGGAAUUUUGGACAAAGGGCGAAAGCCUGAUCCAGCAAUGCCGCGUGUGUGAAGAAGGCCUUCGGGUUGUAAAGCACUUUUGUCCGGAAAGAAAUCCUUGGCUCUAAUACAGUCGGGGGAUGACGGUACCGGAAGAAUAAGCACCGGCUAACUACGUG